rnacentral:rRNA from 1 species
AUUGAACGCUGGCGGUAUGCUUAACACGUGCAAGUCGAACGGAAACGAUGGAAGCUUGCUUCCAGGCGUCGAGUGGCGGACGGGUGCGUAACGCGUAGGAAUCUACCUAGUAGUGGGGGGACAACUCGGAGAAAUCCGAGCUAAUACCGCAUACGCCCUACGGGGAAAAAGGGGCCUCUUCUUGAAAGCUCUCGCUAUUAGAUGAGCCUGCGUAGGAUUAGCUUGUUGGUGAGGUAAUGGCUCACCAAGGCGACGAUCCUUAGCUGGUCUGAGAGGAUGAUCAGCCACACUGGGACUGAGACACGGCCCAG